rnacentral:rRNA from 1 species
UAGAUUUGAAAUAGUCUAAAUUAAAGGGGCGCCGCAAGGAGCCCUGUGCAUAAAUAGGAAUAUGUCCUAUUAGGUAGUUGGCGGGGUAAAGGCCCACCAAGCCGGUGAUGGGUAGCUGAACUGAGAGGUUGGACAGCCGCAAUGGGAUUGAGAUAUGGCCCAUAUUCCUACGGGAAGCAGCAGUGAGGAAUUUUUCACAAUGGGCGAAAGCCUGAUGGAGCAAUACCACGUGAACGAUGAAGGUCUUCUGAUUGUAAAGUUCUUUUAUUUAGGAAAAAAAGCAGGAUAGGAAAUGAUUCUGUCGUGAUUGUACUAAUU